CUACAGUACAGUGACAGUAUAUUGUCUAAACAACUGAAGGUUAAGGACCUUGCUCAAGGUCCCAACAGAUACAACCUGGCAGAGGCGCCUCCAAUCAGCCGGCAGAGGUCAUAAUCGCAUUCUGACAGAGAGAGACCCACAUCCAGUUCUUUGUCCCACCCCCCAACUGAGCAACCAGCCAAUCGUUGCUCAUACAGCCGCCCAGCCUCGAACCGGGGAGGCAGAGCUGGAUUCGAAACGAUGUACUCAGAUUCCAGCCCUGGUUGCAUGUCUUUUUUACCGCUGCGCCACCUGAGCGGCUAACUGCUAAAGAAGUUAAUGCUGUAUACAUAUAUACACGUAUAUAUCAGUCAGCAUAUAACAAACUAAUAUGUUUUAUGUAGGAUUUUAACGUCAUGUUUUACACACUUUGGUUACAUUCAUGACAAAAAUGGUAGUUACUCGUUACACAGGGUUCAUCAGUUCACAAGUUUAAUGUCAAACACAGUCAUGGACAAUUUGGAUCACCUUGGACUGCAAGGACCCGGACCGCCCCACCUAGGGAUCAAACCCUGGACCUUUUUGCUGUCAGGUGACAGUGCUAUCUACGAAGCCACCGUGCCACCCUGAAUUAAAAUAAAUAGUGGCUGAUUAGUGAAAAUACAUUUUGUAAUUGUAUAAUAACAGCUAUUAAAACAGCAAUGCCAAA